rnacentral:rRNA from 1 species
UGGGGAAUAUUGGACAAUGGGCGAAAGCCUGAUCCAGCCAUGCCGCGUGUGUGAAGAAGGUCUUCGGAUUGUAAAGCACUUUAAGUUGGGAGGAAGGGCAUUAACCUAAUACGUUAGUGUUUUGACGUUACCGACAGAAUAAGCACCGGCUAACUCUGUGCCAGCAGCCGCGGUAAUACAGAGGGUGCAAGCGUUAAUCGGAAUUAUUGGGCGUAAAGCGCGCGUAGGUGGUUUGUUAAGUUGGAUGUGAAAUCCCCGGGCUCAACCUGGGAACUGCAUUCAAAACUGACUGACUAGAGUAUGGUAGAGGGUGGUGGAAUUUCCUGUGUAGCGGUGAAAUGCGUAGAUAUAGGAAGGAACACCAGUGGCGAAGGCGACCACCUGGACUAAUACUGACACUGAGGUGCGAAAGCGUGGGGAGCAAACA